UGGGGAAUAUUGGACAAUGGGCGGAAGCCUGAUCCAGCCAUGCUGCGUGUGUGAAGAAGGCCUUUUGGUUGUAAAGCACUUUAAGCGAGGAGGAGGCUACUUGGAUUAAUACUCUAGGAUAGUGGACGUUACUCGCAGAAUAAGCACCGGCUAACUCUGUGCCAGCAGCCGCGGUAAUACAGAGGGUGCGAGCGUUAAUCGGAUUUACUGGGCGUAAAGCGUGCGUAGGCGGCUUCUUAAGUCGGAUGUGAAAUCCCUGAGCUUAACUUAGGAAUUGCAUUCGAUACUGGGAAGCUAGAGUAUGGGAGAGGAUGGUAGAAUUCCAGGUGUAGCGGUGAAAUGCGUAGAGAUCUGGAGGAAUACCGAUGGCGAAGGCAGCCAUCUGGCCUAAUACUGACGCUGAGGUACGAAAGCAUGGGGAGCAAACAGG
rnacentral:rRNA from 1 species